GCCCCCCUUUCUCCGAGGGGUUGCUGGUCCGGACGACCCGGCCAGUCUCGGCGGGAGCCGGGGCCCCUUGAGAUACUGCGGCGGUUCGGUUGCUCGGUUUCGUGGCUUCCCUGCCGCCGUCGAGCUGGUGUCGCCCCCUUGCCCGCCCUGGAGUCGGACUGUGUAGCGGGGCGCCCAGCGAGUUCCAGGCCCAGCGGGCCAGAGUAGCAGUCGCGGUCGUGGUUAUCUGGACGCUGUAGUUUUUGUUUCUGAAUCCCAGAACUGGGUCCUGACUCCCUAGAGAAAUUGAGGGUGCCGAGAUGAGUUUCCAGUGCUGACCAGUGCAGCUGUAUUUUGCUAAAAGCAGUAAGAAUUGAUGACUUCCUGUGAACAUCGAGCCUACAGACGUAUGCAAAGCAGUAUUUGGAAUCCAUAGCUUCCUCUAGGUGCAACCUGGCAAUAUCUCACAUCAGGCCCAUGGAGCUUGCUUCUCACUCUCCACCUGGGGUUUGUCUGAUGACUCCAUAGGGAAGAACAGUGUAGAAACUGACUCUGGUUCUCAUGCUUAUGCAACUCAGGAGUACUGAGGCUCAUGGCUUUGGACAGGGAAGACUUUGAGCAAUCGGGAUGGGAUCCAACUGAUAACUACUACCCUCCUUUUAUCUCUAAGUAACAGCCUGGAGAUGUAUCUUAGGCAACUCCUUACCAGUCCCAGUGGAUCCUACAGUAAGUCACCUACAGUAUUGUCCAACUUGAUAAUGCAUCUUUGCGGUGGUUUUUCGUCUUCCCUAUUCCCACACAUCCCUUG